rnacentral:snRNA from 1 species
GAACCAUCUAGUAGCUGG